rnacentral:misc_RNA from 1 species
GUACCUUCAACAAUUUCUCUCUUAGGGGAGAACGUUUGUCAUACAAGCAACAAUGAAAUGAGGGAUGAUGUUGAAGAGUUUGAUGUGUUUGCGAAUCAAUUAGAUUCUGGUAGAGAUAAAACACAAUUGAUUUGUACCUAAAGGAGCCUAAACUUGAUCGCAAAGGGAAUCCAAAUUUAGAUGUACUUGCAUAUUGGAAGGAAAAUAGAGGAAGGUAUACAGAGCUUUCGUU